AUGGUGCCUACACUCAGCCCCUCCACACAGCCACUACAGCUGAGAUCAGCACGGCGGCCCAAGGACUCCCCACAGACGGUGGAAUACAGGUUGCUGAAACAAAAAGUGUGUCCAGCCUCCAGGGCUUGCCAGCAGCUAUUGACUGAUAGGAGCACACUGUCCUUGGUGGCAGGAGGGAGCAACUUGCUUUAUCUAUGCAUUCCCUGGCAAGCAGCAGCAGUGGAGAAAGAGACAUGUCUCGCUGGCCAGUGUCCAGUCCCUGGCAAGCCAAAUCAUUCUACAAGCUCUGAAACUGAAGACACAAAAUCAGCAAUGAAACAGUGCUGCUUGAGUCAGAGGUGCGAAGGAAUCAGCUCUCCACUCCAUGAUCCAUCCUCCAGCUCACAGCUGGUACAAAUGGGUGUGACUCAUUGCACAGCCAGAGGUUAUAAUGAAGUAUCCCACUCAUCCUUUAGCUCACCCUUUGUUCGAGACAAUGCGGAUUGCGGAAGGUUUCUGAGGAGGCCAUGUCCUGCUCAUGAGGCUCCUGCUCAGCUGCUCUGUAGCUUUCCCCCACCCGGAGGGAGGACAGGCAGGGGAGGUGACAACCUUCAGCAAAGGGUCCCUGUGCUGUU
rnacentral:lncRNA from 1 species